GACGAACGCUGGCGGCGUGCCUAAUACAUGCAAGUCGAACGCAGUGGGGACGGGUGAGUAACACGUGGGUAACCUCCCAUCAGAGGGGAUAACACUUGGAAACAGGUGCUAAACCGAUACUGAUGGAUGAACCCGCGGUGCAUUAGCUAGUUGGUGAGGUAACGGCUCACCAAGGCCACGAUGGAUAGCCGGCAGUGUAGAGAGAUCGGGCACUCUGGGACGUAGACAGGGCCCAGACACCUACGGCAGGCAGCAGUAGGGAAUCUCCGGCAAUGGACGAAAGUCGGACCGAGCAACGCCGCGUAAGUGAAGAAGGUUUUCGGAUCGUAAAACUCUGUUGUUAGAGAAGCGGUAUCUAACCAGAAAGCCACGGCUAACUACGUGCCAGCAGCCGCGGUAAUUC
rnacentral:rRNA from 1 species